rnacentral:rRNA from 1 species
AGAGUUUGAUCAUGGCUCAGAGCGAACGCUGGCGGCAGGCUUAACACAUGCAAGUCGAGCGGGCGUAACAAUACGUCAGCGGCAGACGGGUGAGUAACGCGUGGGAACGUACCUUUUGGUUCGGAACAACCCAGGGAAACUUGGGCUAAUACCGGAUAAGCCCUUACGGGGAAAGAUUUAUCGCCGAAAGAUCGGCCCGCGUCUGAUUAGCUAGUUGGUGAGGUAAUGGCUCACCAAGGCGACGAUCAGUAGCUGGUCUGAGAGGAUGAUCAGCCACAUUGGGACUGAGACACGGCCCAAACUCCUACGGGAGGCAGCAGUGGGGAAUAUUGGACAAUGGGCGCAAGCCUGAUCCAGCCAUGCCGCGUGAGUGAUGAAGGCCCUAGGGUUGUAAAGCUCUUUUGUGCGGGAAGAUAAUGACGGUACCGCAAGAAUAAGCCCCGGCUAACUUCGUGCCAGCAGCCGCGGUAAUACGAAGGGGGCUAGCGUUGCUCGGAAUCACUGGGCGUAAAGGGUGCGUAGGCGGGUCUUUAAGUCAGAGGUGAAAUCCUGGAGCUCAACUCCAGAACUGCCUUUGAUACUGAAGAUCUUGAGUUCGGGAGAGGUGAGUGGAACUGCGAGUGUAGAGGUGAAAUUCGUAGAUAUUCGCAAGAACACCAGUGGCGAAGGCGGCUCACUGGCCCGAUACUGACGCUGAGGCACGAAAGCGUGGGGAGCAAACAGGAUUAGAUACCCUAGUAGUCC